UUAUCUUCAGGAGCAUUAAAGUUGUUUUUAUCAGAACAGAAAACAUGAACACGAACAAUCACUGAAGAAUCUCGGUAUAAAACCGAGUGUAUUUUGACCUUAAGUUAUAGAUUUACGUGUUUAAUUAAUCACGGUGGAUAUGAAGAGCUGACGGGACACCAAACAGGACAAGAAUAAAAACAUCUUGAACAUCUUCAUUUACCUACAUUUGACUCAAAUCAUGAAUAUGAACAUUUCAUAUUUAUUGUUGUGCUUAUUUGUGUACGGUGUGUUGGCUGUUGACACAGAUGAAGUGUCAGUGUUUAUGGGGGAUUCUGUUACGUUACAUAGUAAUGACACCAAAAUACAGACAGCUGAUCGGAUAGUGUGGGUAUUUGGACAUGAAAACGAUCGUAUAGCUCAGAUCAAUAGGGCAGCCAAUAAGAUCUCAAUAUAUGAUGAUGCUGUUGAUGGAAGAUUCAGAGACAGACUGAUGUUAAACCGUCACACUGGAUCUCUCACCAUCACAAACAUCACAGCUAAUCAAUCUGGACUUUAUAAACUACAAAUCAUGAGUGGAAAUGAUGUCCUUUACAGAAGCUUUACAAUUAUUGUUUCUGUAAAGUUAUCAGGUGUCAGUGAAGAACAGAAGUCAUCCUCACAUGAACAUACAAUCCUGAUAAGUCUUGUUGUUUCUGCUCUUCUGGUCAUGGGUGCUGUGGUGAUCGUCUGUAUCUACAAGACACUUAAAAAAACAAAUCAA